GGUCGUUUGUGGCCACCGAGCCUCCCUGGGGAAACUGCUGGAGAGCGGCACGCCCUCGUGCGUGUCUUUCCAAGCCCGAGCUCGCCAUGCUGGUACCUGGAACCGGGCCACGGUGACAAGCGUGGAUGCUGCGGGGACCAGCAAACACAGCUUGGUGCUCUCCAGCUGCUGUCAGACCCUGUCCCGCACACAGGCUGCACACGUGUGGCUCUGCGGGCGCUCGCACGGGGCGCAACAGGCCCGUGGACCCCUAGAAACGUGAAGCUGCUGGGACACGGCCGGAGAGGGCCACCCGUGGAGACACUCACACACCGGUUGCCAGGCUCUGAGUCUUGUCUUGGCUGAGAUCGCAGAAGAGGGGAUCAGCUGUGCCCACCCCCCAGUGUGAGCCAUGAAGGGCUGUUGGGAAUAUUAAGGGAACACCGACUGUGCACCUGCGCCAUUUGGAACUGGGACUCCAGCAGGGGAUGAAGCUCACAGACGUCCCUGUUUGGGGUGGCCUUUUCAAGUGGCAGGGGAUCGAAAAUAAAAAUAAAGACCGGAAGGAGGUAAAGGAGUGAGGUGUGGGCAUAUCAAGGGGAAGAGCAGUUUGGACAGAUGGAACAGCAGGUGCAAAGGUCCUGGGGUAGUACCCCGCCUGGCAUGUUGGAGGAGCAGGGAGGAGGCCCCUGUAGCUGGAGCAGAGUGAGUGAGGGGCAGAAUGGGAGAGGGCGAGGACAAGGAGGGGACAGGAUGGGGUCCUGCACAAUCUCGUGUGCCUUGAGAUGAGUUGGGCUUUUACCAGGAGGGAGGUGGGCGCCCGGGACGGCUGUGGGCAGGAGGGAGGGGCCUGACUCCCCUUUGGAGGACACUGGGGGGAGGACAGAUGGUAGGGGUGCGGGUGGGAGCAGGGGGGCCAGGGGAAGGGGCGGGAGAUGAGGGGGCUGACCAGAUGAGGCAGCGGGAGGAGGGAAGGCGGUUGAAUUCGGGGUAUAUUUUGCAGACCGGGCACGUGGUGAGAUUUGAGAUUGGGUGGAGUGGGAGACUGGACAGACUGUGUGGCGAGAGAAAGCUUGUGGGUGAGGAUGCCCCGAGGGUGUUGGAGAAGAUGGAGACGUGGAGGGGUCGCGGGGGGAGGGGAGGGGCAGGUCAGACGCGGGGUGUCACCGCCUGUGUGGGGGAGAUGGCUGGAGCUGCAGUUCCAGGGAGGGACCUGGAGGUGCCCCCCGGGGAAGCACCAGCUCCCGUGAGUCCUCCUGGCUUCUUCGAAUUACUUUGGGGGUAAACGCCUUGUGGGGAAGGUGUGGGGGGAAGGGGAGGGGGGGCGCAAAUGUGUGUGUGCCCCUGAGCUCGAGUGCCGGUGUCUGUGGAGGGCUCACUCUGAGGCCACCUUUUCUGACUCCCUAGGCCGAGUUUGAGUCCCCACCCCCGCCCCACGCCCCCACGCUGGUGUCCCUCCCCCGCCAGCCUCUUGUUCUCCCUCGGGUCUGUGUCAGCAGCUGUCGGGGUUUGAGGAGCUGGUGUUCCCUCUGGCGUGUGGGGGGGGAAGGCAGAGAGAGAGGCAGGGAGAGUGACCCCCAGACACGGGGCUCGAGCUCGCGAACAGCGAGGUCAUGACCUGAGCCGAAAUCAAGAGCUGGACGCUUAACCGACGGAGCCACCCAGGCGCCCCCCCCCCCCCCACCCCCGGCUGGCUGUUAGUAGCUCCCGUGGGAUCCCCGGAGCUGAGCACAGAGCCCCCCACGUGCGCGAGGUGCUCCGUAGACAUCGGCGGACACGGGGCUAAGUGUGUGCGGCGCUGGGGGCCGGGGAUACAGGCGGGAGCACCCGAGGAUACCGAAGACAGAGGACGCACAGCCACUGCGUGUGGGGGUCGACCACAUCUCCGUGUGCGUCACACGUGUGCGCCCGCGGGCUGAGCGUGGCCGUGAGUGUUCCUGCAGCUAAGUGUGCACGUCCGCGUGAAUCCCUGUGUGCCCUGAGCACACCUCUGCUUGCCGUCCCGCACGGGUAUGCCUGUGCACACGUGGCUCUCUGGGUGUGUCUGCCCAGGGGGCACACGCGCGUGCCUGCACGGGUGUGUUAGAGCAUAUCCGUGACUGCGGGAUCCCGCGGGUGUCCACGUGUACCCGGGCUUGUCUGUGUGUGUGUUUGCAGGGGUGUAUUUGAAUGCCUUCUUGCCUGUGUGCUAGAGACGUGCAAACGUGUGCUUGAACACGUGUGCGCAGGUGCCCAUAUGAAUACACGCGUGUCCCCCACCUGCUAAUGUACGUACCACACGGGUGUGUCCAAGGGGGUCCACGCAUGGUGCUGAGAUGCCUUCAGACCGGGCUAGGCCUGAUCCCAGGAUAUCCUGACGCCCAGCACUGCUCUAUGUCAGACCCAGAGAACAGCUUGCCCCACGGAGACUCCCUUCUCCUCCUAGCCUUGACCCCAGCCCCUCUAGCCUCCCCCCCUCAAGCCAAAUGUGCCUUCAAAGAACCAGGAUUCAGUGGAGGAAAUUCCUUCUGGCAGCUUCUGGGCCUCUGGGCCAUUCCCAGGGAGGAAUCCAGAACUGUCUGGAGUGGCUCCCAGGGACAGGAGCUGGGACCGCGCGUGGACAGGGGCUGGGACCGCACAUGCUGGGUUGUUCGGAGGCUGGUUCUGCCAGCUGGACCCAGCUCUGUGCCUCCCCUGCCAAGUCCAGAGACAGAACUGGAUGAUGAACCUGCUCUAUUGGCCAGCUGGUGUGUACCCGGCAGUGCGUCUGGGAGAUAAUGGCACCAAAUUGUCAGCGUGCCUUGAGGGGCACUAUCGAUCGGGCCCCGUUUUCUGAGCUAGAGGGACGCAGAGGGGCAGGACGGACCCCAGGCCUGGGUGACUCUACCCCUGUGGCUCUGAAAUGAGGGGCAGUCCCCCCGCCCUACGCCCGCCAGGGAACAUCUGUCAGUGUCUGAAGCUAUUUUUGUUUGCCACACCAGCCAGGGGGAUGCGCUUCUGUUAUCCAGUGUGUGGAUAUCAGCACUACAUCCUACAAGGCACAGAAGGCCCCCCGCCCCCCUGCAAAGGAGGCUACGACCCCAAAUGUCGACAGAGAGGAGGCUGAGAAACUCUUGCGAAGCUUUUUGAGAGCGUCAUGGGAAGCAGAUAGGAUCCUGAAGCAUCUGGACGUUUAGAGACAUAAAAGGUGUCUCAGGUGCAAAAACACCUGACAGAUGCUUCAGAACAUCAGAACGGAUGACUAGCCGGGAGCCCAUGAAAAGCUGCUCAGUGUCGUUUCUCAUCAGGAAAACGCAAAUCGGGACCACCGCGAGACACCCGACUGCACGCCCGCCAGAAUGGCCGAAAUGGAAAAUUCAAACAAUACCAAGUGGAGCCACUGGAACUCUCUGCUGUUGCCAGUGGGAUGUCACAUGGUCCAGCCACGCUCUGUGAGUCAAACCAGGGCGGGAAGUCGCGUGAGCAGCCCAGGUUCCAGGCCGGAGCUGAUCGAGCAGAGGAUCGCUUUCCAGGCUUAAGACCAGGGGGCCUGGGGCUCAUGGUGCUUCCCACGGGAAGAAGGACCCUAGUUCAAAUGAUUCAGGAUUUUCUGUCCCUGGUGGGUACAAACAUCCAGUAUAAUGUCAGUGGCUUUGGCUUCUUGGGAACCCUGCACUGAGCAUAGCUACUGUGUAAAAAAAAGGAGUCCUUGGGGCACCUGGGGGGCUCAGUCGGUUGGGCGUCCGACUUUGGCUCCGGUCAUGAUCUCACGGUUCGUGAGUUUGAGCCCCGCGUCGGGCUCUGUGCUGACAGCUCGGAGCCUGGAGCCUGCUUCGGAUUCUGUGUCUCCUUCUCUCUCUGCCCCUGCCCUGCCUGUGCUCUCUCUCUCUCUCAAACAUAAAUAAACCUUAAAAAAUAUUAAAAAAAAAAAAAAAAAAAAAGGAGUCCUUGGCAUCUGACAGGGGUUACUUGGUGCCGAAUCUCCAGGCCUGUUCCCAGCAGGUGGGUGUGGGUGACGGCAGGGCCGUGUCUGAGGACCCAAGGAGGAUGACGCACAGACAGGUCAGGGCCUUCCUGAGCGAGGCCCUGCCGAGGUUCCCACGGCCCACACUUGUACCGCGGCCAGGUCUGAAGGCCAGGGCACAUCCGGAAGUUCAGCCUCCGGGGCAACAAAGGCGCCCCAACCCCCGCUCUUUGCAGCCAUCAUAACAAUUAUUACAUUUAUUGAGCAUGGGCCGGGCCCAGGUGCUGAGAUGCUACAAAUGCCGUUUUAUAUCCUCCUUCCAAGAAAUGGGCUCCUGUCUGCAGGAGGGCUCACCGCCCUCCCGCCCCACAGGCUGUCUUUCUGGUCUUCCGACAGACUGCUCACACCUCAGGGCCUUUGCACUUGCUGUUGCUUCUGCCUGGUGUCUCUUCCCUCCGAGACCUUCACGGUGGGGACCUUCUCAUUCUCCAGGCCUUGGAUCAAAUGUUAUCUCCUCUCUGAAGUGGAACCCCCUCCCCCCCCCCCCAUACCCUCACUAUUCCAUCCCUUGGCUCCAUUUUUUUUUAUUACAUUCAUGACACUCUUUUGAGUUUAUUCGUUGUUUCUGUUUCCCCAUCUCCCCACUGGCAUGGGAUGUGAUAUUUUGCCAAACUUACAGGCAAGUAAUGCAGCUCAUUUGAAUUUAUAAACUUCUGAUACCCAAAAAGGUGAAUUUUUCAUGGGUCUCUCGGCCUUGUGUUUUUCAUAUUUCUGAUAUUGAUUUCUAGGAUUCCCUUCUUCUUUCCUUCCUUCCUUCCUUCCA